rnacentral:rRNA from 1 species
GACGAACGCUGGCGGCGUGCUUAACACAUGCAAGUCGAACGAUGAAGCCGGAGCUUGCUCUGGUGAAUUAGUGGCGAACGGGUGAGUAACACGUGAGUAACCUGCCCUUGACUCUGGGAUAACUGCUAGAAAUGGUAGCUAAUACCGGAUACGACCCUCGGAGGCAUCUCCAGGGGGUGGAAAGAAUUUCGGUCAAGGAUGGACUCGCGGCCUAUCAGCUAGUUGGUGAGGUAAUGGCUCACCAAGGCGACGACGGGUAGCCGGCCUGAGAGGGUGACCGGCCACACUGGGACUGAGACACGGCCCAGACUCCUACGGGAGGCAGCAGUGGGGAAUAUUGCACAAUGGGCGCAAGCCUGAUGCAGCAACGCCGCGUGAGGGAUGACGGCCUUCGGGUUGUAAACCUCUUUUAGUAGGGAAGAAGCGAAAGUGACGGUACCUGCAGAAAAAGCACCGGCUAACUACGUGCCAGCAGCCGCAGUAA